GAUGAACGCUGGCGGCGUGCCUAAUACAUGCAAGUCGAGCGAACGGACGAGAAGCUUGCUUCUCUGAUGUUAGCGGCGGAAGGGUGAGUAACACGUGGAUAACCUACCUAUAAGACUGGGAUAACUUCGGGAAACCGGAGCUAAUACCGGAUAAUAUUUUGAACCGCAUGGUUCAAAAGUGAAAGACGGUCUUGCUGUCACUUAUAGAUGGAUCCGCGCUGCAUUAGCUAGUUGGUAAGGUAACGGCUUACCAAGGCAACGAUGCAUAGCCGACCUGAGAGGGUGAUCGGCCACACUGGAACUAAGACACGGUCCAGACUCCUACGGGAGGCAUCAGUAGGGAAUCUUCCGCAAUGGGCAAAAGCCUGACGGAGCAACGCCGCGUGAGUGAUGAAGGUCUUCGGAUCGUAAAACUCUGUUAUUAGGGAAGAACAUAUGUGUAAGUAACUGUGCACAUCUUGACGGUACCUAAUCAGAAAGCCACGGCUAACUACGUG
rnacentral:rRNA from 1 species